rnacentral:rRNA from 1 species
UACGUAGGGUGCAAGCGUUGUCCGGAAUUAUUGGGCGUAAAGAGCUCGUAGGCGGUUUGUCGCGUCUGCUGUGAAAAUCCAGGGCUUAACCCUGGACCUGCAGUGGGUACGGGCAGACUAGAGUGCGGUAGGGGAGAUCGGAAUUCCUGGUGUAGCGGUGAAAUGCGCAGAUAUCAGGAGGAACACCGGUGGCGAAGGCGGAUCUCUGGGCCUGUUCUGACGCUGAGGCGCGAAAGCUAGGGGAGCGAACAGG